rnacentral:rRNA from 1 species
GACGAACGCUGGCGGCGUGCUUAACACAUGCAAGUCGAACGGAAAGGCCCUGCUUUUGUGGGGUGCUCGAGUGGCGAACGGGUGAGUAACACGUGAGUAACCUGCCCUUGACUUUGGGAUAACUUCAGGAAACUGGGGCUAAUACCGGAUAGGAGCUCCUGCUGCAUGGUGGGGGUUGGAAAGUUUCGGCGGUUGGGGAUGGACUCGCGGCUUAUCAGCUUGUUGGUGGGGUAGUGGCUUACCAAGGCUUCGACGGGUAGCCGGCCUGAGAGGGUGACCGGCCACAUUGGGACUGAGAUACGGACCAGACUCCUACGUGAGGCAGCAGUGGGGAAUAUGGCACAAUGGGCGGAAGCCUGAGGCAGCAACGCCGCGUGCGGGAUGACGGCCUUCGGGUUGUAAACCGCUUUCGCCUGUGACGAAGCGUGAGUGACGGUAAUGGGUAAAGAAGCACCGGCUAACUACGUG